rnacentral:lncRNA from 1 species
CAAAGCCCACCCUACGAUUGAUUUUUGUUUUCUUCUAGAAUCAACUUCAAGUUUGCUAGAGCAGCUGUAUUUAUUUGCAAGAGGCUUUGGGCAUGAAUUUUUUUCCCCAGGUAUAUUAGGAAAUACACUGUCUCUUCAGUGAAAAUCGGUCUCUUUUUAAUGAUACUUGAAAAAUUAAUCACUUUUGUUCUCCAGAUUGACUUUUAAAUCUUUCCCUUUAGAAAUCGCCGGCUGGACAUCCAGAGCACCUAGCCUGUUUUUUUCUGCAUCUUGAAUUGAGCAUUAACAGGACUCUUGAAGUUGCUCCAGGGCCAGUGGUGACCAGAUGAGGACUGGAGUCAAGUGUGCAGAGUCUUGGCGAUUAACAUGGAAACCAAACUGACCCAGGGUUAAGUAAAGGCUUAAUCCAGGAGAAGAACUUGACAGAGUACAUCCUGCAGAGAGUAGCUUAAGCUAGAAAGGACUGCCUGUGACACCUGCCUGCUAUCUAUAAAACACUCAUUCCUCUUUCAAUGAUGCUGACUUAUUCACCAACACUUUCCAAGAAUGUGUUUACAUUAAAGCAGAGCCAGGAUGUUAAGAGUACCAGAUUGCAGAUUACUUUGCCAUUGCUUCAGUGGCAUCCAGAGUGAGUCACCCUGCCUCAGUUACAGCAAGAGGAGCUCUG